rnacentral:rRNA from 1 species
UGAGCGUCAGUGCAGGCCCAGGGGAUUGCCUUCGCCAUCGGUGUUCCUCCGCAUAUCUACGCAUUUCACUGCUACACGCGGAAUUCCAUCCCCCUCUGCCGCACUCUAGCCUUGCAGUCACAAUGGCAGUUCCCAGGUUGAGCCCGGGGAUUUCACCACUGUCUUACAAAACCGCCUGCGCACGCUUUACGCCCAGUAAUUCCGAUUAACGCUUGCACCCUACGUAUUACCGCGGCUGCUGGCACGUAGUUAGCCGGUGCUUAUUCUUACGGUACCGUCAUGACCCGGGGAUAUUAGCCCCAGGCUUUUCGUUCCGUACAAAAGCAGUUUACAACCCGAGGGCCUUCAUCCUGCACGCGGCAUUGCUGGAUCAGGCUUUCGCCCAUUGUCCAAAAUUCCCCACUGCUGCCUCCCGUAGGAGUCUGGGCCGUGUCUCAGUCCCAGUGUGGCUGGUCGUCCUCUCAGACCAGCUACAGAUCGCAGGCUUGGUAAGCCUUUACCCCACCAACUACCUAAUCUGCCAUCAGCCGCUCUAGUAGCACAAGGCCCGAAGGUCCCCUGCUUUCAUCCGUAGAUCUCAUGCGGUAUUAGCUACUCUUUCGAGUAGUUAUCCCCCACUACUAGGCACGUUCCGAUGUAUUACUCACCCGUUCGCCACUCGUCAGCAUCCGAAGACCUGUUACCGUUCGACUUGCAUGUGUAAAGCAUGCCGCCAGCGUUCA